rnacentral:rRNA from 1 species
UACGUAGGGUGCGAGCGUUGUCCGGAAUUACUGGGCGUAAAGAGCUCGUAGGUGGUUUGUCGCGUUGUUCGUGAAAACCGGGGGCUUAACCCUCGGCGUGCGGGCGAUACGGGCAGACUGGAGUACUGCAGGGAGACUGGAAUUCCUGGUGUAGCGGUGGAAUGCGCAGAUAUCAGGAGGAACACCGGUGGCGAAGGCGGGUCUCUGGGCAGUAACUGACGCUGAGGAGCGAAAGCGUGGGGAGCGAACAGG